rnacentral:rRNA from 1 species
UACGGAGGGUGCAAGCGUUAUCCGGAUUCACUGGGUUUAAAGGGUGCGUAGGAGGGCAGGUAAGUCAGUGGUGAAAUCUCCGAGCUUAACUUGGAAACUGCCAUUGAUACUAUCUGUCUUGAAUAUUGUGGAGGUGAGCGGAAUAUGUCAUGUAGCGGUGAAAUGCUUAGAUAUGACAUAGAACACCAAUUGCGAAGGCAGCUCGCUACACAUAUAUUGACUCUGAGGCACGAAAGCGUGGGGAGCAAACAGG